rnacentral:rRNA from 1 species
UACGAAGGGUGCAAGCGUUACUCGGAAUUACUGGGCGUAGAGCGCACGUAGGCGGCUUUGCAAGUCGGUUGUGAAAUCCCCGGGCUCAACCUGGGAACUGCAUCCGAGACUGCAUUGCUAGAGUAUGGGAGAGGAAAGCGGAAUUUCUGGUGUAGCAGUGAAAUGCGUAGAUAUCAGAAGGAACAUCAGUGGCGAAGGCGGCUUUCUGGACCAAUACUGACGAUCAGGUGCGAAAGCGUGGGGAGCAAACAGG